CACCAGCAGCUCUAGUGGUAGCAGUUUUUAUUGGGCCUAAAGCGUCCGUAGCCGGUUUAAUAAGUCUCUGGUGAAAUCCUGUAGCUUAACUGUGGGAAUAGCUGGAGAUACUAUUAGACUUGAGACCGGGAGAGGUUAGAGGUACUCCCAGGGUAGAGGUGAAAUUCUGUAAUCCUGGGAGGACCGCCUGUUGCGAAGGCGUCUAACUGGAACGGUUCUGACGGUGAGGGACGAAAGUUAGGGGCACGAACCGGAUUAGAUACCCGGGUAGUCCUAACUGUAAACGAUGCGGACUUGGUGUUGGGGUGGCUUUGAGCUGCUCCAGUGCCGAAGGGAAGCUGUUAAGUCCGCCGCCUGGGAAGUACGGUCGCAAGACUGAAACUUAA
rnacentral:rRNA from 1 species